rnacentral:rRNA from 1 species
GGCGAGUGGCGAACGGGUGAGUAAUACAUCGGAACGUACCCAGAAGUGGGGGAUAACGUAGCGAAAGUUACGCUAAUACCGCAUACGUUCUACGGAAGAAAGUGGGGGAUCGCAAGACCUCAUGCUUUUGGAGCGGCCGAUGUCUGAUUAGCUAGUUGGUGAGGUAAAGGCUCACCAAGGCGACGAUCUCUAGCUGUUCUGAGAGGAAGAUCAGCCACACUGGAACUGAGACACGGUCCAGA